UCACCAAAAUACUUGUAUCAUUAUUAAAUGUUGCCUAGACGUAAUUUCACUAGAAACCAAUCUGAAAAUAAGGUGAUGGUUGUGUUUGUGUACCGCAGGAGGUGGAGUUGAUCAGGAGCAUCCAGGCUCUGUUGAAGAGAACGCUGAGUCAGGCUGUCAAUCAAAUCAAGUGAGCGUCACAAUGAAACAAUAAGGGGGUUUAUUUAUCAAAACUUGGAUGAUACAAAUUAUGGCAAGCAAAUAAACCAAAGUGCUUUAAAAUAUACCUAGGGCUAAAUUACUUGAAAAACGAACUGUCCUAUAAAGUAUUAACGUUAAAAAGAACUACGCUAUAACGUGCAGGAACAGAACGUACAUAAACCAAAAAUCAACUCGCUGAUGGGACGUUCCAUUAUAAGGGGAGUGGCCAGCUCCAAGGCAAGUCUGCAAACCGUCAAGUUUUACAUUUCUACAAUAAUGAUAACGUUAAAUAUAAGCAUUAUUUUAUCAAUAACAGUAUACAAUAUCAAUGUAUAACUGUACUUCGCUAUUUUAAACACUCGUCAAAGGGAAAAAGAGUUCCACUGGGGUGAACAGAGGGUGGGCAUUUCCCAACUCCCUUCCGGAACCGAAUUUUAACCCUGGGAUUCAGGUCGGACCUCCUUUAUCAGCACACCGUGGCAUCCAUCACUGCUGAGGAAUAGAGAUACAGAGCUGUGAAACCCUGUCUGCAGAUGAAGAGCAAUGGUUCCCAGUCCUGUUCCUGGGGUCUCAAAGGGAUGCCUUGCAACUGGAGAUUUCUUAAACGAUUGCCUACAGUUACUGUGUAGGGCACUGCACAGUUGGGUGACCAGGGCCAUCUGGGACUGUCUCGUGGGGGAUUUCAGGCAUCUGUGAAGGCUACCUGUGUCCUGCAUAACUUCAUGAUGAUGAACAGGAGGGGACCUGCAGCGCUCCGCCGUGUGCCAGAGGAGAGGUCUGCUGCUCUGCAGGAUGUUGCCAGGAUGGGGGCCAACAACGCACACAGGAGGCAAUCUGUGUGCAGGAGACCUUCACCUCCUACUUCUUAGCAAAGGAUGCUGUUCCCUGGCAACAUAGACUACACUAUGCACAACMAAAGGCUCUUUUAAGAGCCAUCCACAUUGCAAUAAGAGUAUUCUUCAAUUUACUUAGCUAUGUCAACUGCAGUUAUUCAUUUCAGUUUCUGUUCCUGUGAUUUCUACUUCGCCGGUGAGGGUGCUGUUUAGGUAGGUGUGGUGUCUGUACAAAAACAAAACAGGCUCUUUUAAGAGUCACCCAUAUUGAAAACAUUUAGAACAAUUAGACACCCUAUAAGCCACACCUACACACUAUAUAUCAAUCUGAGUAUGUGUGUGUAGUAAGCAGGCUCCGGUGUAUAACUGUGGCUCCUCCACCUUCAAAGAAAGACAAGAGGACAAAACCAUGGAGAAUAGUACACACUCAUUAUUUAAUAACUAAAUUGUUUGUACUCAAGUGUUCUGCAUAAAGUACUCUGCAGCCAUAGUGAGGCCACACACACACAGAUUCCUGUUGAACACCGUCUCUUUAACGGACUUAUUUUCUCAAUAACAGUCUCCUCCUCACUCCAUCCUCUCCCCCUCCCCGUAAUCAUGUAGGUCAGUGGUUGCCAAACUUUUAUGGUCCCAUACCUUCAAACAUUCAACCUAGCUGCGUACCCCCUCUAGCACCAGGGUCAGCGCAUUCCAAAUGUUUUUUGCCAUCAUUGUAAGCCUGCCACUCACACACACUAUACAUUUAUUAAACAUAAGAGUCUGAGUUGUCACAACCUGGCCGGGGGGAAUAACAAAGAGCUCUUAUAGGAUCAAGGGCACAUAAUAAUAUUCAAUACAUUUGCUAUUUAUUUAGCCAUCUUACAUAAAAACAUUUUGUUUCAUUGAAAAUAGUUUUUUUAAUUUUUUAAAUGUUAUUUAAACGUUAAUCGCAUUUUAUUUGGCGUACCCGUUUGGAAUAUCUGCUGUAGGUUAUAUCAGCUUUGUCAGUGAACUCCCCUGUGUCUGAACUGGCCCAUAGAGGGCACAGCAUGAUCAGAGGUGAGAGGUAACUUGGUUGGGUUAACAGGAAGUAUUAUUAAAGAGAUGCUUACAUUGAAAUACAGAUAGAGAUGUCUAGUCCAAGAGUUUAGAAUUUUACCUCCUGAUUAUUAUGACUGACAGUGAUGGCAUGAUUAAGCCUUGUUUUUUUUUAUUUUGUCUCCUCUGCAGGUAAGUUUUGAUGUGAGAGAGUAUGCCAACCGCCAGACCCAUCAUCGCCACCUCAGCCGCUGUUACGAUAAACUUCAGGCCAAUGGGGGCCCAAGGCUGGUUAGGAACACCUCUAGAGACACUUAUGUAAAAAAUUUCACAUUCUCUACUGGUUGAAGCUCUCAUUUGAUGAAUAACCACACCUAUCCUGGUCCUCAGAUCAGUGCAGAUGAAGGAAAUUAGAUAGAUGGAACCUAUUUACAUGAUGCAUAGGAAGUGUAAUGUACGGUGUUUUUAAAAAUUCUGUUUCUGUAUAUAUGAAUUACAAAUCAGCCCUUUACUAGUUAAAUCAUGUUUCUAGUCUAUUGCAUAGUUAAUGUGUAACCAAGCAUGGAUAUCCCAGGACCAAGAUUGGUAAACGCUUGAAGUGUAUAAUUGUAAUACAUACAUGCAGACACAGCAUCAGUCAAAUUCAAAGACUGGAAGUUGAUACUCCUGGUAUUGGAUAUGACUGAAAAAGAAUCUCACAGACAUUCAUACCUGAACCGCACCUUUAUUUGCCAAGGUAGAGUACAUGAUCAGUGAAUAUAUUAAAUGUACAGGCUACAAUGUGGGGAUCUCAUGCUACAUGUAUAUACGACUUGCAUCCUUGGCACAAAGUUAUAUUAUAUUAUACUCAAUCCAUAGGCUUCAUUAAUGUCAUUCAGACUGUUUUGAAGUUGAUACAACCGGCUAUGAUAGCUUAAGUUCAUAUCUAGGUUCUGAACCAAUAUGUAUACCAAACGUUUGGGUCCAUACACAGAUCAGCUAGACAGCUACACAUCCAUAGGCAUACAGGGAUUUUUAUCCCCCACUGCCCAAWAAACAAKAAAAUAGUUAGCUAGUUACGUUAUCCACAAGGCAAGCUUACAAAAUUGUACAUUCAAUUUGCAGUAAACGCUUUACCUAGAUAGAUUAUUUACAUCCACCGUUUCACAAGACGACAGCCUGGUUUGCUGGUUGCUUCAGGAGUCCCUAAAACAAACACGAAUUACAAUGUCAUAUUCAUGUCAAAACACCCAUAAAACUAGCUAGUUGGCUACUGUUAAGCUAGUCAGAAAGCUUGCUAAAUCGCGAUUUUCGCAAAUUGACUUUAUGAUAAAACAUAUGCAUACUCGUUUUGUCUCUACAUUAACUAACAGUCCUGUCAACUGUGUUUUGCAUGAAUCGUUAUGACGUUAUAAUCCCGUACAUUUGCUUCCAUCCUGGCAUUUCUGUCCGCCAUCUUUGCAGCAGCUGAGCCGGGUUACAGCCUAUUCAUUUAGGUACCAAACACAGGAAAAUGGACUGCCUGAGGUUGUCCAAUAAGAAACGCUCGUUAUCGUUUUCCAGUGCAAAUUGUUUGCCUACGUUUUGCUCCUGUGUGCACUAAUGAAUACGGAUCCUGCUAUGGUAACAAUGUCCUUUUUUUUUGUCUUAUGGCGCCCCUUACUGUCUGCAAUACGUAGCUACUCACCCGCAAAGCAUGCAAAGGAAAAACCAAGGAGGCCGAGAUGUGAUAAGUGCUAACAGGUGAUAAACAGCACUGAUGUUUAGGCAUAGAAGCCCAAACGUAUUCUCCUUUUUUAUUCUUCACAUUUGAUCACUUUGCAUCAAAUUCAAGUCUGACAACAGUACCACCCAACUCAGACAACCCCAACACAGUACCACCCCAACUCAGUACCAUACCAACACAGUA
ensembl:lncRNA